rnacentral:rRNA from 1 species
UACGGAGGAUCCGAGCGUUAUCCGGAUUUAUUGGGUUUAAAGGGAGCGUAGGCGGGUUGUUAAGUCAGUUGUGAAAGUUUGCGGCUCAACCGUAAAAUUGCAGUUGAUACUGGCAUCCUUGAGUACAGUAGAGGUAGGCGGAAUUCGUGGUGUAGCGGUGAAAUGCUUAGAUAUCACGAAGAACUCCGAUUGCGAAGGCAGCCUGCUGAACUGUAACUGACGCUGAUGCUCGAAAGUGUGGGUAUCAAACAGG